rnacentral:tRNA from 1 species
GAAAGUAUAGCUCAGGUGGUAGAGCGCAUGCUUAACAUGCAUGAGGUCCUGGGUUCAAUCCCCAGUACCUCCU